rnacentral:tRNA from 1 species
GGGGUUGUGGCUCAGCGGUAGAGCGCUCGCCUAGCAGGUGCGAGGUUCUGGGUUCCACCCUCAGCACCACA